rnacentral:tRNA from 1 species
GAGGGUACAGCUCAGUGGCAGAGCACGUGCUUAGCAUGCACUAGGUCCUGGGUUCAAUCCCCAGUGCCUCUA